UACGUAGGGUGCGAGCGUUAAUCGGAAUUACUGGGCGUAAAGCGUGCGUAGGCGGUGAGAUGUGUCCGAUGUGAAAGCCCCGGGCUUAACCUGGGAAUGGCAUUGGAAACUGGCUCGCUGGAGUGUGGCAGAGGGGGGUGGAAUUCCGCGUGUAGCAGUGAAAUGCGUAGAGAUGCGGAGGAACACCGAUGGCGGAGGCAGCCCCCUGGGCUAACACUGACGCUCAGGCACGAAAGCGUGGGGAGCAAACAGG
rnacentral:rRNA from 1 species